rnacentral:RNase_P_RNA from 1 species
GACGGCCGAUUGCUUGAUCGCGUCUGUGGCAAUCGAUACUAAGGCAUAGCUGAUGCCGCUAAACAUCAGCGACUUCAAAUUGUUUGUGCCGUACGGACUUCUUUUGACCGAUCUAUCCCCAGCGUGACGGAUAGUGUCACAGAAAAUAACCGCCUCGGGCUUGUCUGAGGUAAGGGUGAAAAGGGGAGGUAAGAGCUCACCGCUCCAAAGGUAACAAUGGAGGCUGGAUAAACCCAUUCCGGUGCAAGGCAAAAUAGGGAAUCUGGCGGCCCGUCUAUGAUUCCGGGUAUGUCGCAUCUCGCUUCGGGGGUGUAGAUAAAUGAACGCACAGCCAAACGCUUCGGCGGGCGGCGGUCAAAAUCCGGCUUACAGCUCGCUAUCGCAU